rnacentral:sRNA from 1 species
AAUUAAUCGGGUGAGGGAUUGCAGCGGCAUCCUUUUGUACAGCAAAAGAUACAGCGGAAAGCCCGGUGCACC